GUGUAGCCGAAGUCCAUAUGAGUCUUUGUCUUUGUAUCUUCUAACAAGGAUACAAUACAUAGGCUUUUAAGAUCCGGUUGCGG
rfam:Arabidopsis thaliana chromosome 5, complete sequence.